rnacentral:rRNA from 1 species
UACGUAGGGUGCGAGCGUUAAUCGGAAUUACUGGGCGUAAAGCGUGCGCAGGCGGUUCUCCAAGUCCGUUGUGAAAGCCCCGGGCUCAACCUGGGAAUGGCAGUGGAAACUAGGGGACUGGAAUCUGGCAGAGGGGGGUGGAAUGCCGCGUGUAGCAGUGAAAUGCGUAGAGAUGCGGCGGAACACCGAUGGCGAAGGCAGCCCCCUGGGCUGAGAUUGACGCUUAGGCACGAAAGCGUGGGGAGCAAACAGG